rnacentral:lncRNA from 1 species
CAUGGCGCGCCGGCCCCGGGUCCCCCACGCCGCCCCUUAGCGCCGCGGCGGCGGCCGCGCAGUCCCGGACCGGCCCCGCGGGCCCCUCGGGCAUGGAGCCGCACGUGCUCUGCGCGGUCUUCUACUGGCUGCUGCUGCCCUUCGCGCUCCUGGCCGCCUGCCUUUUCCGUGUCAACGCGCUCUCGCUGGUCUACCUGCUGUUCCUGCUGCUGCUGCCUUGGCUCCCGGGCCCCUCCCGGCACAGCAUCCAAGGUAAGGGGCCUCGGCCGCAGCGGCAGGGGCGCCGGCGGAACCCCGCGGGGUGGGCUUGCUCUGCGGUUGAGGAACUGCAGGUGAAGGCUGCGGGGUCGCCUUUCUCCCAGGGGACCCUUGCUGGUUUCCGUCUCUUUUCUGAGCUCGUGUCCCCGGGGACGGGCUGGAGAACCUCGCUGGGGCGUCCCCACCAGGAGGCUCAGGCCCUGGCGCUGUGGCCGGGCCCCCUCCCAUUCCCCACCCUGUCCCCAGCGACGUCCUUGCAGCCUGUCUGCCCCAAGAGGCUCUGGCCAACCCUCAAGUCCAGCCACCGGCUCAGCUCCCGCUGCCCCGCCUCGGACUCAGGAUCCGUGGUGUUGGCGUGGUGCCCUCCGGGGCCUCUGCGCUCCUGGACCGCCUUGUCUGGGUGGUGGGCACGCGUGGUUCUCUGCCUGGUUCUGAGCUCCCGGAGGGCGGCUUCUGUGUCCACCAGAUAGACAGAGUGAGGAAGGCCGCCAGGGUGCCUGCGCCCCCAAGGGACCUAGACGAGUGGCCCUCGGCCUGGGCUCAUCCCAGAGGGCCCGGGAGCAGAGAGGACGGUCGCGUAGGGGGCGCCCCACCCAGCAGAGCCCAGGCAGACCCUCUGAAGGAAGACCCCACUUGCAGGCAGCUGCUGGGGGACUUGGCCAAGGGGCCCCUU